GGAUUAGAUACCCUGGUAGUCCACGCCGUAAACGAUGUCUACUAGCCGUUGGGACUCUUGUAGUCUUAGUGGCGCAGCUAACGCGAUAAGUAGACCGCCUGGGGAGUACGGCCGCAAGGUUAAAACUCAAAUGAAUUGACGGGGGCCCGCACAAGCGGUGGAGCAUGUGGUUUAAUUCGAUGCAACGCGAAGAACCUUACCAGGUCUUGACAUCCAGAGAACUUUCCAGAGAUGGAUUGGUGCCUUCGGGAACUCUGAGACAGGUGCUGCAUGGCUGUCGUCAGCUCGUGUUG
rnacentral:rRNA from 1 species